AUUUUAUGUUGGUCUCAGGGACACCCAGGAAAAGAUCCAGACCUGAGAAAUGCCCUUGAAUGUUCAGCAAGAUCUCUGAACAGUGCAGGUCAUCGGGAAGAAUUUUGUUUUCAUGAGUGCACAGCCCUCAGCAGUUAUUGUUAUGAAUUUUUGCACAGAGAGCACAGCCUAAUACAUGCUGAUGCUAACUUCUAGAUGGAAAGACUUUUUUCAGCUUGCUGUGCAGGGAAAAAUAACUUCAAGCCCUCCAGCUUCAUGCUGGAGAGCUGCAGAACUGUUGGGGGAGAGGACUGCUCAUGUGAGUUGGCCUCCCACAUGCUGUAACCUCCAAAAAAUGCCAGUCCUUCUCACCAAACAUUUAAAAACUUUUGUGGUAAGACAAGACAGGCAUCACGAUUUGGAGCAGAUUUAAAGCAAGGCUUUAAGAUGUGAGUUCUGUGGUCUAUGCCUAACUGCUUUGUGUGCUGUUUUGUUGUGUGUGUGUAUGCAAACACACUUGAAUGUAUGUAUGCUUGCACAUGACUGUCUGAUCAGGUCUGGCAGUAAUAAGGACUGUAGGACACUACCAUGUACAAAUAUACUUUGUACCAAAAAACUUUUAAAACAAGAUGAGAGCUCAGUUUCUCUUGGAAAUAAUGCAGUAAAUAUGGGAAAACACACAGGGGCGAAAAAAAGUUAUGGAAAAAAAAAAGUAAUAAAGUAAUGGUGGCUUAAGUUCCUCAUUGCUUCUGAAAAGCUUCAACCAGAAGACCUAAGGCAAUCCUUUGGAAAAUUGCACAUUUACAGCUUUUAUUUCCGUGCUAUUUCUGUACACUUGGAAAUAAAUUCUGAUUUCUCUUUUUCUUCUUGGCAUGUGGGACUCGAAGCACAAGGGAGCUUCUCACCGCAAGAAACAAAAGUGGAGAGCCAGAAUUCAUGAACUCUUUCAAAGAGUAGGAAAUCAGCUACUGAAAGCAGAGCAGAGUGGAAUUGAAGAAGAAAUGGUAGCUAGCUUUGGUAACCUUACAGAUGUGAAUACUGGAUUAAAUGGAGCAGCAGGACCUCGUGGGAAGGCUGACUGCUCCAAGAUGCCACAGCCACUAGAAAUUCACCUCAGAUGCCUGAGGGGAGUCAAAGAUAAGGUCCCUAAAGGCCUCUACACUCUCAAAGUUUCUGUCCUCAGCCGCUUAGGUGGUGCCUUGGUGGAGUGGCCUGAACUGGAGGAGCAGCCUCAGGCCAGGACGACACGGCCUGUUAGUCAUGGUGGAAACUUCUACAACACUGAAAUCUACUUUGGACAAAGUAUCCAGACAAGCACACAAGGAAAAAUGGUUUUGUUCCCAGAGGUUGCUCUUCCUCUCCUCUUCUGGACCAAGAAUUGGACUAUCCAGGAAAUGCUGAAGGAACAUGAACUCUGGAUUGUCACUGCUUCCCCUGCGAAGUGAGUGUUGCUGCAUCCCUGGCUGGACUGUAGCCUGUGGUUGAACAGAUUGCUAGCUGAGGUGUGAUGAGGAAUCCAGAACAGCAUCAGGGAAGAGACAUGAAUUGGAGCAGCUGCUGGACCAAGAAAGAGAGGAAAGCUGCCUGCUCCUCCUCCGGAGCCUGGGGCAGGCAGAGCAGCACUGCUGCGUGACUCAGCCCUGCAUGCCGAACCAGCCACGUCUUCAUGAGACUCCUUGGCUCCAAGUGGUUUCUGG
ensembl:lncRNA